CCAUGGCCUGAGACUGAUCCUGUAUCUUUAGGAGAAGAGAAAGUCAGCCAAGUGGAGAUGUGUGAUGUUCCUAUAUAUUAGUGUAUAUAUGUAAUCGGUGGGGUUGAUGACGGAACCAACAGACAAUGGCAGAGUAAAGAGCCAUCAGGAGAGCAGGAGGGACCUUGAAAUUGCCCAUCAAGAGUUAGCAUCUGGACAGCAGACUGAGAAGGCACACAGAUGGGUCACCUCCAACUCUACCACUCUCAGCCUGUCUAAGGUUUCCAGUUCUCCUUGUGACUUAGUUCAUUUGCUGUCCCUUAUGUUUGGAACUUUUCUCCUGAAUGCUUACAUGGUCCUGUCCUAUCUUCCUCCCUCCUUUAAAAUCCUCCCUCCACAUCCACCAUGUCCCACAGGGGAAGACCAAGAUAAUCUCUUCUCAAAGUGCAGGACAUGGAAUAAUGGGCUCAGAAGAAGCCUGAUUUUAGCUGAACAUCAGGAAAAAAUUUCUAAUGGAAAACAAUGGAACCAAUUACCUAGGGAGAUGGUGGGCUCUCCAACACUGGAGGCAUUCAAGAGGCACCUGGACAGCCACCUGUCAGGGAUGC